rnacentral:rRNA from 1 species
UACAGAGGUCUCAAGCGUUGUUCGGAUUCAUUGGGCGUAAAGGGUGCGUAGGCGGCGCGGUAAGUCGGGUGUGAAAUCUUGGAGCUUAACUCCGAAACUGCAUUCGAUACUGCCGUGCUUGAGGACUGGAGAGGAGACUGGAAUUUACGGUGUAGCGGUGAAAUGCGUAGAUAUCGGGAGGAACACCAGUGGCGAAGGCGACUUCCUGGCCUGUUCUUGACGCUGAGGCGCGAAAGCGUGGGGAGCGAACAGG